rnacentral:tRNA from 1 species
CCUCUCGUGGUGUAGGGAUAACGUGCCUUAUCUAGUAAGCAGGAAGUCGUGAGUUCGAUCCUCACCGAGACGA